AGUCUCAGGAAGAUAUCUGAGGUUAGACCUGCCCAGUGUGUAAUCUAUUAACGGCCGCGGUACUUUGACCGUGCUAAGGUAGCGUAAUCAAUUGGCUCUUAAAUGGGGUCAGGAAUGAAUGGAGUUACGUGGUUCGGCUGUCUCCUAACUAAUAAAUUGAAAUUACUAUGUAGGUGAAAAAGCCUUCAUUCGGAAAAAAGACGAGAAGACCCUUAGAGUUUUUCUUAAUUUAAUAAUUCUUUAAUAGUUAUAUUAUUAAUUAGUUUUGUUGGGGCAACAUAGGAGCAAAUAAUAAGCAUAAUCUCCUAAAAUAAUACCCACCGAUAAUUUUAAAGUUGUAUAAACUACCUUAGGGAUAACAGCAUAAUGUAAUAAAUAAGUUUGUGACCUCGAUGUUGGACUAGGAAACUAAAAGGCUAGCCGUCUUUUGGGAAAGUUUUGUUCAAACUAAUAUUCCU
rnacentral:rRNA from 1 species